GCCUCCAGCGCUCUGCCCUCCGCCCGGCCGGGGCGAGCGGAGCGCCCGGCGCCGCCGGCCUUCCCAGAGGGAGCCGAGGCGCCCGGAGCCCCCGGCUUCGAGCGAGGGGUGCGACGGUGACCGCCCCAUCUGCCCCCUCGCCGGCAUCGCCCGGGAGCAGCCCGCGGCGCCGGGGCCGGGAGGCGGCGGGGGACCCACUGCCGCCCGCGGCGCUUCCCAGCGCUCGACGCCGGCUCCCGCGCCCCUGCCGCUUGGAGACGUCCCAGAGGCGCUGCUGGGGCUGGGGGCAGGCUGCCCCUCCGCGCCGCGGAGCAAAAAUCCACCAGCCGAGCUGCCCAUCGCGGCGCAAUCUCGCCCGCCGCGGGACGGCUGCGGAGGCCGCGCUCAGUCUGCGGCGCGAGCCUGGGAACCGGGCACGGGAAGGCGCCGGAGCAGAGCCGUGCAAGCAGGAGACCCCGGCGCGGGGAAGUCCUGAAAAGCCCUUGUUUCUGGUGAAUUGGUGCAUCAGCAGAAACCCUGACACUCUGCUUUAGCGAGCGGCGAAGCCACCUCGACCCAGCGCCCAGCGCUUCGGCAGCCACCUCGGACCAGAGGGCUCCGGGUAACGAGGAUUUGUGGAAGACUGAUUUAUAUCAAACCGCCCCUCGCCUGAGCAGCAUUUUUGAGCCCGUUUGCAGAAGGACUGCGCAGGACUGCCAAGGAGCUCAACAAGCAGCCCAGAAUUCAACAGCAUGGCAAAAUCUGGAUGCUAGUGAAGUCCAUGACAAAAAUCCAAACAGCUUGAAGGAGUGUGCCUACAGAGGUAAAAUCCUUGAGUGCAUUCUGCAGAAAAUGCUGCCAAACAUAUGCUGUUUUUAUCUCAAAUCUAAUGAUAAGCUUCUUUUCCCCUAAACUGUGUGUU